GAUGAACGCUGGCGGCGUGCCUAAUACAUGCAGGUCGAGCGAACGGACGAGAAGCUUGCUUCUCUGAUGUUAGCGGCGGACGGGUGAGUAACACGUGGAUAACCUACCUAUAAGACUGGGAUAACUUCGGGAAACCGGAGCUAAUACCGGAUAAUAUUUUGAACCGCAUGGUUCAAAAGUGAAAGACGGUCUUGCUGUCACUUAUAGAUGGAUCCGCGCUGCAUUAGCUAGUUGGUAAGGUAACGGCCUACCAAGGCAACGAUGCAUAGCCGACCUGAGAGGGUGAUCGGCCACACUGGAACUGAGACACGGUCCAGACUCCUACGGGAGGCAGCAGUAGGGAAUCUUCCGCAAAGGGCGAAAGCCUGACGGAGCAACGCCGCGUGAGUGAUGAAGGUCUUCGGAUCGUAAAACUCUGUUAUUAGGGAAGAACAUAUGUGUAAGUAACUGUGCACAUCUUGACGGUACCUAAUCAGAAAGCCACGGCUAACUACGUG
rnacentral:rRNA from 1 species